rnacentral:rRNA from 1 species
GCAGCCGCCACGGUAAUACGAAGGGGGCUAGCGUUGUUCGGAUUUACUGGGCGUAAAGCGCACGUAGGCGGACUUUUAAGUCAGGGGUGAAAUCCCGGGGCUCAACCCCGGAACUGCCUUUGAUACUGGGAGUCUUGAGUUCGAGAGAGGUGAGUGGAAUUGCGAGUGUAGAGGUGAAAUUCGUAGAUAUUCGCAGGAACACCAGUGGCGAAGGCGGCCCACUGGCUCGAUACUGACGCUGAGGUGCGAAAGCGUGGGGAGCAAACAGGAUUAGAUACCCCGGUAGUCCCUGUCUCUUAUAC